CGGUCAACUCUCGAACAAGGUUUGGUUAUACCUACGGGGGCUAGACCUGUGGUGUCAUCAUCCAUACGGUUCUACCGUCUGGUAGUUGUAGCAAUAUUAUUAUCGUUAGUAGCACACGCCUGACAUAAUAUUUUGAUAAAUCUAAUACAUUUUUAGAUUUAAAUAUGACUUUAAUAACUGAAUAAAUACUUUUCUUCUACAAAAAUAUAGAGAGACACUCUCGUUGAAUAUUGUUUUAGUAACGUAUGGGUAAGAUUUUCUAAACGAAGUGUGGCAACCCCAAUUACUUAAUAAAAAAUAAAUAUGUUAUAAAAUGAAAAUGGCGUCAUUUCACCAAAUAAAACACGAAUUCACGAAUAAUAAAAUAAAUGUUUGCCACGGCCUGUUAAUAUUUAUGAAGACCUCUUCAUGGAUUGGAUUUAAGCAACCUGCUGUGUAAUAUCCUCGCCAUUCUUGAUGUUGAGAAGAUCUAUAAGUCUUUUGCGUUUCAUCUGAGUGUUGUGGUUUUUCAUUAUGUUAAAAAUAAGACUUUGUUAGUUCAAGUGUCUCUAUAACUAUGAAGAAGAACAAAAGAAAAUGCUUUGAGUGUGGUUCUUCGCCUGCCGAUGAUCCAGAGAAGACCCUACAGAGAUUACAGAAAUUUGAUUCUACAAAUUUAGUCUCCGGUAGCUUAAUCUGGGGCAACAUAAGGUUAAUUAUGAAAUGGUAAUGAAAAUAAACAUCUGAGAAAAGCAAAUUCCAUGAACUAAUUUGAAAGUAUCUGUUACCAGUUCAAUAUUAAACCACAGGUAUAUGUACUAAAGGCAGUAAUGUCCAGAUAAUCAAUGAUUAGACUAUUGGACUUUUAGAAUAAAUUUUACAUUGAACUAUGAAUGGUUUGUCAUCUACAUUUUUAAAAAAGACGAGAUGUUUUGCCUGUAAGAACAAGAGAGAGAGAGAAUAAGAAGCAAUCCUGCUUCUUCACAUGAAUUUUACCCGCAUGACGACGGUUUUUAAUAUAAAAAAUAUUUACACAAUGUCUCAAAAAGCAAUCAAAGCUUUCAAAAAUAAACAAUGUUCGCAGAAGUUCAGUACCAACAAACUCACAAAAAAUGAGUUCAAAAUUUAGCAUUACUUGCAAGCCAGACUAAGAAAUUUCAAGAAGAUAAUUUAAAAGAAGACAAUAGAAUAAAAUAAUAUUAACACACAAUGCUUAGCAAAUAUAGCAUUAACAGAUGGAAACCAGGCAAUAGGUGUAGCAAAAUAGAAGAUGAAGGUCUAGCUGUGCCAGUCAGUGCUGAGCCACACAGUACAGUUGCUGCUGGCAUGUUUGCAAAAUAGCACAAGGUGUAGCAAAAUAGAAGAUGAAGGUCUAGCUGUGCCAGUCAGUGCUGAGCCACACAGUACAGUUGCUGCUGGCAUGUUUGCAAAAUAGCACAAGGUGUAGCAAAAUAGAAGAUGAAGGUCUAGCUGUGCCAGUCAGUGCUGAGCCACACAGUUGCUGCUGGCAUGUUUGCAAAAUAGCACAAGGUGUAGCAAAAUAGAAGAUGAAGGUCUAGCUGUGCCAGUCAGUGCUGAGCCACACAGUUGCUGCUGGCAUGUUUGCAAAAUAGCACAAGGUGUAGCAAAAUAGAAGAUGAAGGUCUAGCUGUGCCAGUCAGUGCUGAGCCACACAGUACAGUUGCUGCUGGCAUGUUUGCAAAAUAGCACAAGGUGCUGUAAAAUGAAGAUAUAUUGUUAAAUAUCAUGAGAUAGAAAUAAAAGAUGAAGAUCUAGCUGUACCCAUCCCGAGCCACACUACUGCAGCCACGUUGCUGCUGGCAUUUUUGCAAAAUAGCACAAGGUCACAACAAUUGAUGUAACAAUUAUAAUCAAUGGACCAGGCACCUGCACCAUGAUUCUUUGGAAUACUAAAAUUCGUCUCUUUAUGUCUGUACUUCUCAUAAUGAAAAAUGUCACAUUUUUAUGAAAGAAAUAAUGGAAUCAAAUAAUAAAUAAAACAAGCAUAUGCUGGAAGUCCUCAGAAACAGCUCCGACUUUGAUGAUUUUUUUUUUAAGUCUAUUUAAAAAAAGAAAAUUUUAAUUAGUUUUUAUGUUAUUUAAAAUCAGAAAUGUUUUGGUGGACGAAAUUAUUUAAAUUGUUAAAAAAUAUCUAUGCUAUUUAUACAUAUUUUUUUUUAAAUACAACCGACUUCAAAAAUACAAACUUAUACAGAAAACUAAUAAACGAAAGAAAAUAUUAUAAUAUUUUCUAUCUAUUGAUCACUUUGAAGGCGGUGCCAAUGGUCCAAUUAAUGGGCCGACAAUUAGUUAUCUAAUGUUUUCCUAGCUAUAGGGUUCAAAUUGCUUUUUCAUAUCUUUAAAAGACUAUCUUCGGAAUGAACCCUUUAUAAUAAAAAAGUAUUAUCAAAAUCGGACCACUCAAUAAAAAGUUAUACUUGGUUGUAUACUAAAAUUAAUGGUUAAACAAUCAAUCAUCCCCUGUUUUUGUAAUGUAAAACCAAGCAUAACUGUUAACAUGAGUAGUCCGAUUUUGAUAAUUCUUUUGAUUGAUCAUUCUUGAUUGUUUUAGUUUAAAACCAAGCAUGUCUUUGAAUUCCGAUUUGAAUAACUUUGUUUUAAAUAGAAAGGGUAUAUUCCGACAAUGGUCCCAAAUCAUUAUAAAUUUUAAUUAUUCCCAUUAAUUGUAUUGUAAAAAUAUGCGUAACUUAUUACGAAGUGGUCCGAUUUCGUAAAUUCUUUAUAGAUUGUAAAGGUAUUUUGAUUGUAAAGCUCCCAUAUAAAUUUUAAAAAACAAUUCCAAUCCUAAAUGUGCGAUUGAUUGUUUUCUCAUUAAUUUUAAUAUAAAACCAAGCAUAACUUUUUAUUGGGUGGUUCGAUUUUGAUUAUUCUUUUUUUGAUAGAAAGGGUAUAUUCCUAAAAGUCUCAUAAAAUGUUGGAAAACAAUUUCAAACCUAAUAGUAGGAAAAUAGAAGAUGAUUAAUUGUUUUCCCAUUUAUUGUAAUGUAACUAUGCGUAACUUUUUACUGAGUGGACCGAUUUUGAAAAUUCUUUACUUUUUGUAAAGGGUUUAUUUCGAAGUAGGUCCCAUAUAAAUUUCGGAAAACAAUUCGAAUCCUUAAGGUGGAAAAAAACGGUACGAUUGAUUGCCUACCCAUUAAUUGUACAAUUGGCACCGGCUUCAGUAAUCAGUAGAUAGAAAAUAUUAUAAUGUUUUCUUCAGCUUAUUAGUUUACUGCAUAACUUUGUGUUUUUGAAGUCGGUAGUGUUUGUUUUUUUAAUAAUUUAUUAUAUAAAUAGCAUAAUGUAUGACGAUUUAUACUAUUGUUAAAUAGUAUAAAUCGUUCCAUCAUCACUCCAAAAGGUUUCUGAUUUCUGAUGAUAUGAAGAAACAAACUGAACAAAAAUAAUCAUCAAAAUCAGAGUUGUUUCUGAGGAGGUAGAGGGUAAAUGCUCUAUUGAUUCGCCUAAAAGUAAUAUUAUGUUAUCGCAUUAGGUUGUAAAGUUUGGCUAAUGAAAGUAGAGACUGAAAUUGCCCGCCAAAUUUAAAAAUCAUAUAAACAAAGUAAAAAAACAUGCGUUUUCAUAAUUUACUUAAAUUAGUUUUUAUUUGUGAAUACAUUAUUACCUAUACUAUAAGUGUUAAACUCAGUUAUUCAAAUAUUUGCACUAUAAUUUUGAGAAUUUACUCCGAUUUUUUAAAAUUUGGCGGGUGAUUUCAGUUUCUACUUUCAUUAGCCAAAUUCUAAUAAUUUUAUUGUUUAUGAAAUUUAUACUAAUUAGAAAGAGGAAGAAUUUGAUUAUUUGUUUGUUUGCAUUGAAUAGGCUCUGAAACUACUUUGCUGAUUUAAAAAAUUCUUACAGCAUUAUAAUCAUGGAUUAGGCCAUAAUUGUUAUCUCUGUAUUCCCACGGGAACGAGAACUACGCUGGUGAAACUGCGUGACGUUUGCAUAGUUUAUCAUAUGUACAAAUAUCCCGACAAUCUAUAUUUUUAUGUAUGAAUUGGUUAAGUUAUAAUUGACUUGAUUUUCCCAAAUAUAUCAGUGAAGUCACCCAAUUGAUGCAUAGAUAUAUCUUUAUUUUGGUUUUCAUUUUACUUUAAAGAUAAAAUUUAGUUUUAGAAGCAAAAUGAAUAUAUUUAGAUUACAUUUUAGGUGCUGAUGUUUACUUAGUUAUUGUUUAAGUGCAUAAGAUUUUUUAUUUGAUAAUAAAGACAUUUAAACUUGAAA